rnacentral:rRNA from 1 species
CCUACGGGGGGCUGCAGUGGGGAAUAUUGGACAAUGGGCGAAAGCCUGAUCCAGCCAUGCCGCGUGUGUGAAGAAGGCCUUCGGGUUGUAAAGCACUUUCAGUGGGGAAGAAAGCCUUGGGGCUAAUACCCUCGAGGAAGGACAUCACCCACAGAAGAAGCACCGGCUAACUCCGUGCCAGCAGCCGCGGUAAUACGGAGGGUGCGAGCGUUAAUCGGAUUUACUGGGCGUAAAGCGCGCGUAGGCGGUCUGAUAAGCCGGUUGUGAAAGCCCCGGGCUCAACCUGGGAACGGCAUCCGGAACUGUCAGGCUAGAGUGCAGGAGAGGAAGGUAGAAUUCCCGGUGUAGCGGUGAAAUGCGUAGAGAUCGGGAGGAAUACCAGUGGCGAAGGCGGCCUUCUGGACUGACACUGACGCUGAGGUGCGAAAGCGUGGGUAGCAAACAGGAUUAGAUACCCCUGUAGUC